UCAGCUUAAUUAUAUGACUUUGAAUGUAAAAUUCCUCUAUCCCAUGAACCUGUUAGGUAGCAUUAACAUGUCAAAUUAUGACCUAAUUACUUUCUAUCCUCCCCAAUUGCACAAAUGGCCUCCUUUCAAAUCUUCUUUAUCUCCACUUUCUUCUUCGUCCUUAACACAGCAUCAAGUGCCAAAAUAUGCAAAACAACAUAUUGCGAUGAUCUUAUCAGAUUUCCGUGGGUUAAAUUCCCUUUUCAACUCAAUACUACCUCUCAAAACAAACGCUGUGGCUAUCGGGGAUUCAAUCUUUCAUGCAACAGAAGCCAAACAAUUCUCACUCUCCCUCAUUCCGGGGACUUCGUUGUGCAAGGUAUCAGUUACUCAGAGCAAUCGAUGAAUAUUGAAGACCCAGAUAGCUGUUUUCCCAGACGAUUCCUGACCCAAAACUUCACUCUUUCCGGCUCUCCUUUCCAGCUAUCAGAGACUUCAAAGAAUUAUACCUACUACAACUGCUCCAAGGAGAAGAGUUAUGAGUAUGCAGCACCGGUUUCUUGCCUUAGCGGCGACAACUUUACAGUCUUGGUGACUUUUAACCCUGAAUCGGAGCUACAGCAGCAGUGUCAGGAAAUAAUGUAUGCACCAAUUGACGAGGUUGAAUUGAGUUGGUUCGAGCCAGGUUGCGGAGUUUGUGUACGGGGUAGUCAAGAAUGUGCGCUCAUGAGUGAUGAUAGCCUGGAAGUUGGAUGCUUUGAUGUGGCCACUGCUACUCCAAGCAACGCUAUGGUUGGUAUUUCUCCUUUGUGCAAGGAUUUGUCUACUUGAUACUUACAUACUUACAAGGUUUCACCCCCAAGAAAAUGGUGAACCCUUGGAAGACGUAUGUGAAACUCUCUGCUGUUCUUGUGGGUUCUCAUGGAUUAACAAAGGGGUCCUUGGCCUUUCUUAAUUAUCCAGCUCAGAUCAUAUUCAAAUCAACAAAGCAUGCAGAUAACAACUGCUAGAAAGGUGGUCACUCUGUUCCUGUAAUUCUUGAUAUUUACCAAGCCAUUAACUGAAUAGCACGGGACGAGGUUGUUGCUCAUAGAAAUGGGAAUCAUCCUAAAGAUGUUGCUUGAAAACAAAUUGUCGGGUAGCAGUGCCGCUGCAAAGCAUAGAAAACCAUCCAUAAAAGCAGACAAUAGCCUACCAGCAAAUGGAGGUGUAGUGGAGGAAGAGAGAAGGCCUAGUUUGAAGAUCAAAGUAGUUGUUCAUUUUUUUAAUUAUUUUUUUUUAUUUUUUUUCCAAUUUGUUGUUUCGGGUUCCCUAAUUCAGCUAGGUCAUAGAGGUGGACAGAAAGCACAAGAGAAAAAAGAGAGAAGAGAGUGAGAUAUAGAAAACUAUGAUGAAAAUUCAACUAGUGUUUUGGUACUA